UGGGGAAUAUUGCACAAUGGGGGAAACCCUGAUGCAGCGACGCCGCGUGGAGGAAGAAGGUCUUCGGAUUGUAAACUCCUGUUGUUGAGGAAGAUAAUGACGGUACUCAACAAGGAAGUGACGGCUAACUACGUGCCAGCAGCCGCGGUAAAACGUAGGUCACAAGCGUUGUCCGGAAUUACUGGGUGUAAAGGGAGCGCAGGCGGGAAGACAAGUUGGAAGUGAAAUCCAUGGGCUCAACCCAUGAACUGCUUUCAAAACUGUUUUUCUUGAGUAGUGCAGAGGUAGGCGGAAUUCCCGGUGUAGCGGUGGAAUGCGUAGAUAUCGGGAGGAACACCAGUGGCGAAGGCGGCCUACUGGGCACCAACUGACGCUGAGGCUCGAAAGUGUGGGUAGCAAACAGGAUUAGAUACCCUGGUAGUCCACACUGUAAACGAUGAUUACUAGGUGUUGGAGGAUUGACCCCUUCAGUGCCGCAGUUAACACAAUAAGUAAUCCACCUGGGGAGUACGACCGCAAGGUUGAAACUCAAAGGAAUUGACGGGGGCCCGCACAAGCAGUGGAGUAUGUGGUUUAAUUCGACGCAACGCGAAGAACCUUACCAAGUCUUGACAUCCUGCGACGGUGCUGGAAACAGUACUUUCCUUCGGGACGCAGAGACAGGUGGUGCAUGGUUGUCGUCAGCUCGUGUCGUGAGAUGUUGGGUUAAGUCCCGCAACGAGCGCAACCCUUAUGGUCAGUUACUACGCAAGAGGACUCUGGCCAGACUGCCGUUGACAAAACGGAGGAAGGUGGGGAUGACGUCAAAUCAUCAUGCCCUUUAUGACUUGGGCUACACACGUACUACAAUGGCGUUAAACAAAGAGAAGCAAGACCGCGAGGUGGAGCAAAACUCAGAAACAACGUCCCAGUUCGGACUGCAGGCUGCAACUCGCCUGCACGAAGUCGGAAUUGCUAGUAAUCGCAGAUCAGCAUGCUGCGGUGAAUACGUUCCC
rnacentral:rRNA from 1 species